UUUUGACUGUGCAAAGGUAGCAUAAUCAUUAGUUUUUUGAUUGAAAGCUGGAAUGAAAGGUUUGAUGAGAAAAUAACUGUCUCUGUGUAAAUGUAUUAGAAUUUCAAUUUUAAGUGAAAAAGCUUAAAUUUUUUAUAAAGACGAGAAGACCCUAUAGAGUUUUAUAGUUGAUUAGAUAUAAAAGUUAUUGAAUUUAUUUUUUUAUUUUUAUUUAAUUAUUUUGUUGGGGCGAUGGAAAAAUUUGAAAAACUUUUUUUUGUUUGUAACAUUGAUUUAUGAUUAUUUGAUCCUUUUUUUUGGAUUACAAGAUUAAAUUACCUUAGGGAUAACAGCGUAAUUUUUUUUGGAGAGUUCUUAUCGAUAAAAAAGUUUGCGACCUCGAUGUUGGAUUAAAAUUAAAUUUUGGUGUAGAAGCUAAAAUUUUAGGUCUGUUCGACCUUUGAAAUUUU
rnacentral:rRNA from 1 species